UACGGAGGGUGCAAGCGUUAAUCGGAAUUACUGGGCGUAAAAGCGUGCGUAGGUGGUUCGUUAAGUCCGUUGUGAAAGCCCCCGAGCUCAACUUGGGAAUUGCAGUGGAUACUGGCGAGCUAGAGUGCGGUAGAGGAAGGUGGAAUUCCCGGUGUAGCGGUGAAAUGCGUAGAGAUCGGGAGGAACACCAGUGGCGAAGGCGGCCUUCUGGACCAGCACUGACACUCAAGCACGAAAGCGUGGGGAGCAAACAGG
rnacentral:rRNA from 1 species